CGACGACGAGGGCCACUCCCGCUGUG
rnacentral:sRNA from 1 species